rnacentral:rRNA from 1 species
CCUACGGGGGGCUGCAGUGGGGAAUAUUGGACAAUGGGGGCAACCCUGAUCCAGCCAUGCCGCGUGUGUGAAGAAGGCCCUCGGGUUGUAAAGCACUUUCAGUGAGGAAGAACGCCUGGUGGUUAAUACCCAUCAGGAAAGACAUCACUCACAGAAGAAGCACCGGCUAACUCCGUGCCAGCAGCCGCGGUAAUACGGAGGGUGCGAGCGUUAAUCGGAAUUACUGGGCGUAAAGCGCGCGUAGGUGGCUUGAUAAGCCGGUUGUGAAAGCCCCGGGCUCAACCUGGGAACGGCAUCCGGAACUGUCAAGCUAGAGUGCAGGAGAGGAAGGUAGAAUUCCCGGUGUAGCGGUGAAAUGCGUAGAGAUCGGGAGGAAUACCAGUGGCGAAGGCGGCCUUCUGGACUGACACUGACACUGAGGUGCGAAAGCGUGGGUAGCAAACAGGAUUAGAUAUCCGAGUAGUC